UACGUAGGGUGCAAGCGUUGUCCGGAAUUAUUGGGCGUAAAGAGCUCGUAGGCGGUUUGUUGCGUCGGCUGUGAAAUCCCGAGGCUCAACCUCGGGUCUGCAGUCGAUACGAGCAAACUAGAGUGUUGCAGGGGAGAGUGGAAUUCCUGGUGUAGCGGUGGAAUGCGCAGAUAUCAGGAAGAACACCCGUGGCGAAGGCGGCUCUCUGGAACGCAACUGACGCUGAGACGCGAAAAGCGUGGGGGAGCAAACAGG
rnacentral:rRNA from 1 species